UCUGGGAGCGGCCGAUGUCGGAUUAGCUAGUUGGUGGGGUAAAGGCCUACCAAGGCGACGAUCCGUAGCGGGUCUGAGAGGAUGAUCCGCCACACUGGGACUGAGACACGGCCCAGACUCCUACGGGAGGCAGCAGUGGGGAAUUUUGGACAAUGGGCGGAAGCCUGAUCCAGCCAUGCCGCGUGAGUGAAGAAGGCCUUCGGGUUGUAAAGCUCUUUCGGCGGGGAAGAAAUUGCACGGGUUAAUACCCUGUGUAGAUGACGGUACCCCGAAUAAGAAGCACCGGCUAACUACGUGCCAGCAGCCGCGGUAAUACGUAGGGUGCGAGCGUUAAUCGGAAUUACUGGGCGUAAAGCGUGCGCAGGCGGUUUGGUAAGUCAGAUGUGAAAUCCCCGGGCUCAACCUGGGAACUGCAUUUGAGACUGCCAGGCUGGAGUUUGGCAGAGGGGGGUGGAAUUCCACGUGUAGCAGUGAAAUGCGUAGAGAUGUGGAGGAACACCGAUGGCGAAGGC
rnacentral:rRNA from 1 species